GGAUUAGAUACCCUGGUAGUCCUAGCUGUAAACGAUGGAUACUAGACGUAGGAACUGGAUUGACGGUUUCUGUGUCGUAGCUAACGCGUUAAGUAUCCCGCCUGGGGAGUACGGUCGCAAGACUAAACUCAAAGGAAUUGACGGGACCCCGCACAAGCGGCGGAGCAUGCGGCUUAAUUCGAUGAUACGCGAGGAACCUUACCAGGGUUUAAAUGUAGAAUGACCGGGGUGGAAACACCCCUUUCUUCGGACAGACUACAAGGUGCUGCAUGGUUGUCGUCAGCUCGUGUCG
rnacentral:rRNA from 1 species